rnacentral:rRNA from 1 species
UAGGGAAUCUUCCACAAUGGACGAAAGUCUGAUGGAGCAACGCCGCGUGAGUGAUGAAGGGUUUCGGCUCGUAAAACUCUGUUGUUGGAGAAGAACAGGUGUGAGAGUAACUGUUCACAUCUUGACGGUAUCCAACCAGAAAGCCACGGCUAACUACGUGCCAGCAGCCGCGGUAAUACGUAGGUGGCAAGCGUUGUCCGGAUUUAUUGGGCGUAAAGCGAGCGCAGGCGGUUUCUUAGGUCUGAUGUGAAAGCCUUCGGCUUAACCGGAGAAGUGCAUCGGAAAACCAGGAGACUUGAGUGCAGAAGAGGACAGUGGAACUCCAUGUGUAGCGGUGAAAAUGCGUAGAUAUAUGGAAGAACACCAGUGGCGAAGGCGGCUGUCUGGUCUGUAACUGACGCUGAGGCUCGAAAAGCAUGGGUAGCGAACAGGAUUAGAUACCCUGGUAGUCCAUGCCGUAAAACGAUGAGUGCUAAGUGUUGGAGGGUUUCCGCCCUUCAG